AGAAUUAACUCGUGCUUUUCCUUGCGAACACCGUCAUCAUUGCUUCACAUAUAGUGGAAAGACGCGGGCCCCACCCACACCCACACCCACCCACACCCACAACCACAUCCCGCAGUGAUACAACCAGGCCCGUGGUCCACGCCCUUCAGACUCUCGCGGUCUCCCCCCUGGCUUGUCGCGCUAGGCCCCUGCAGCUAGGGCUCUCCGCAGCCUCCACGGGCGUGCCUUCUUCAGAAGCCGUGGGUUGUAGUCCAGUCUCAACCUCUAACCGGGGCCUCUCGCCUCUAAUGCGCAGAGAGGGGAAUGACGCCAAGCACCUUCACCCACAUCCUGGAGUGGCAGAUGGGGGUUACCAGUCACUUUGAUGCCAAAAUCAUAUUGGCUAACAGAGUCACAGGAAUUUUCUAUACCCUGAAUAUGAAGCUACAUCUAUUUUGAAGGAGGAAUAUUGAAUUGUCCUCUGGCAUGGAGAUGGGCAGUAUCAGAGACAAGCCUGCUUACAGCCUGGAUCCCUGAGUGACGACCUUGAGCAGAGCCCCCUGAUGAUCAUGAGGGGCAAGCUGUUUUAAGCCACUGAGAUAUGGGGCUUUCUUGUUAACCACUGCAUAAUCUAUUUUGAGUGAUAUAAUUCUUUUAUGGUUUUGUAUAAUAUUUUCAGUUUUUGAUGCUUUUGCAAGUUAAGAAUUAAUAAUUGAUGACCUAUAUUUUGGUUAAACAAGGAACGUUCUCACAGAGUUACAUACCACUAUGAUACAAAAUUUCAUAAAACAAAACUAUGGCUUUGUGUUUGAAACUGUCUAAAAAUAAACUGUCAAGAAUUAACUUGAUAAAAUACUAUUAAAGUAGGAAGACAAUGAAAUUAA